CGAGCCCUAGACAUCGCACAGCUUCUCCACUUAAUCUCGUUAGGGGAGUGAAAGUGAAACCAACGAUGCCGGACUACGAAGGCAGAUACGAAGGUAACGGUAAUGGAGAGGAUCUCGACAAUUAUGGUUCCUCUCCUCAACCACGGGGUAGUAGCCAUGGCGGUCCCGAUGACUAUAGCGAUUCUAAAUCUCAGCAUGGUUCUCGUGAGUAUCAAAGGGAGUCUUCCAAAAGCAGGGAAAGGGAAAGAGAGAAAGGGCGUGACAAGGAUCGUGAGAGAGACAGGGAUAGGGAAAGGGACAAGGACAGGGACAGGGACAAGGAGAGGGACAGGGACAGAAGAGACCGCUAUAGGGAUCGGAGUGACAGAAGGGAACGAACCAGAGAUAGAGAUGAUGAUGAUUUCCACCGCAGCCGAGAUUAUGAUAGGCGAAGGGAUUUUGACAGGGAUAGAGAUGACAGGCAUAAGCGCAGGUCUCGUUCUCGUUCCAAGGGUAGAUCCGAACAGAGAUCAAGGUCAAGAUCUGCCUCGCUGUCAAAGAGCAAAAGGGUCAGUGGUUUUGACAUGGCGCCCCCUGCUUCUGCAAUGUUAGCCGGUGCUGCUGCUGCUGCAGACUUCACAGGUCAGAUUCCCGGUACCACUCCAACCAUUCCUGGAAUGUUCCCGAACAUGUUUCCAUUAGCCUCUGGACAGUUUGGAGCUCUUCCUGUUAUGCCAGUUCAGGCUAUGACUCAGCAGGCUACUAGACAUGCUCGGCGGGUAUAUGUUGGUGGACUUUCUCCCACAGCCAAUGAACAGUCUGUUGCGACCUUUUUCAGCCAGGUUAUGUCUGCAAUUGGAGGAAACACUGCUGGACCAGGGGAUGCUGUGGUUAAUGUUUAUAUAAAUCAUGAAAAGAAGUUUGCCUUUGUGGAGAUGAGAUCUGUUGAGGAAGCCAGUAAUGCAAUGGCUUUGGAUGGUAUCAUUUUUGAGGGUGCUCCAGUCAAGGUGAGGAGACCUAGUGAUUAUAACCCUUCUCUUGCUGCAACACUUGGUCCAAGUCAGCCCAAUCCCAAUUUAAACCUUGCUGCUGUGGGCCUAACACCAGGUUCUGCUGGGGGUCUUGAGGGUCCUGACCGCAUUUUUGUUGGUGGACUCCCCUACUACUUCACAGAAGCACAGAUCAGGGAGUUGCUAGAGUCUUUUGGUCCUCUUCGGGGUUUUGAUCUUGUGAAAGACAGGGAAACUGGAAACUCCAAGGGCUAUGCAUUUUGUGUUUACCAAGAUCUUUCUGUUACUGACAUAGCUUGUGCUGCAUUGAAUGGAAUUAAAAUGGGUGAUAAGACUCUCACUGUUAGGCGUGCAAACCAGGGUGCUUCCCAACCUAAACCCGAGCAAGAGAAUGUAUUGUUGCAUGCACAGCAGCAGAUUGCUUUACAGAGGCUAAUGUUCCAGCCUGGGGCACUUGCCACCAAAGUUGUAUGCUUAACUCAAGUGGUUAAUGCGGAUGAGCUACAGGAUGAUGAGGCUUACGAAGACAUUGUUGAAGACAUGCGCAUAGAGGGAGGAAAAUUUGCCUUUUGUAGUCCCACAUUCUGCUAUAGAGAAUCAGGCCUAACAUACAGACAGAAGACUCCAUAACCUUCUAUCUAUGUUCACCUGAGAUUAAUUUUUUGUUUACCCUGUUAUUUUCUUACGGAUUCCAAAUUCCACUCAUGAUUUUGCAGGUAAUUUAGUGAAUGUUGCCAUACCUCGCCCAAAACCAAAUGGUGAACCAACACCUGGCUUAGGAAAGGUUUUCUUGGAGUAUGCCGACAUUGAUGGUGCUACAAAAGCCCGGACUGGAUUGAAUGGGAGAAAAUUUGAUGGAAACCAAGUUGUGGCCGUCUUCUAUCCAGAGAACAAGUUUUCCCAAGGGGAAUAUGAUGGCUAGUUUGUCUGUAUCUUCUGGCUUUCAACAUCAGAAUUCACUGGGCACGAUGUUUUCCGAUGUAUCACUAUGGUCUUUGGCCUAGAUUGGGUUAUAAAAGUUCAUGUUCUUAAUGACAGCUUACAAUGGGUCUCUGGAUUACCCUAUUUUUAACUUUGCAGAUAGUAGACAAGUAGUUCUUUUUCCCCUCCCCCUUUGUUUUUUUAUUUUAUAUUUCUAUUUCUUUGUUUUGACUGGUGUUCGGAAGUAUAAAAUUGUUGCUGUUGAACCUGAGUA